UAAUACAGAGAGUGCAAGCGUUAAUCGGAAUUACUGGGCGUAAAGCGCACGUAGGUGGAUACUUAAGUCGGGUGUGAAAGCCCCAGGCUCAACCUGGGAAUUGCGUCCGAUACUGGGUAUCUAGAGUAUGGUAGAGGGAAGUGGAAUUUCAGGUGUAGCGGUGAAAUGCGUAGAUAUCUGAAAGAACACCAGUGGCGAAGGCGGCUUCCUGGACCAAUACUGACACUGAGGUGCGAAAGCGUGGGGAGCAAACAGGAUUAGAGACCCUGGUAGUCCACGCCGUCAACGAUGAGAACUAGAUGUUGGGAGGGCGACCUCUUAGUAUCGAAGCUAACGCGUUAAGUUCUCCGCCUGGGGAGUACGGCCGCAAGGCUAAAACUCAAAUGAAUUGACGG
rnacentral:rRNA from 1 species